ACUCUCUCAUUCUCUUUCUCAUUAGUCCUGAACACUGGUCUUGGUGCUUGUAAAAUAACACUGAGGCUGGCCUCACAGCUUUGCAGUUUGGUAUACACUAUGUGGGCUAGUUUCAAGCAGGG
ensembl:snoRNA